rnacentral:rRNA from 1 species
UACGUAGGUGGCAAGCGUUGUCCGGAAUUAUUGGGCGUAAAGCGCGCGCAGGCGGUCCUUUAAGUCUGAUGUGAAAGCCCACGGCUCAACCGUGGAGGGUCAUUGGAAACUGGGGGACUUGAGUACAGAAGAGAAGAGUGGAAUUCCAUAGUGUAGCGGUGAAAUGCGUAGAGAUGUGGAGGAACACCAGUGGCGAAGGCGACUCUUUGGUCUGUAACUGACGCUGAGGCGCGAAAGCGUGGGGAGCAAACAGG